CUGCCUUCUUGUUUGCUCGUAUGGUUGGAUUAGUUGUUUAUUUAUUACUAAACAGAGAACCUAAGAUCUAUGGACCAUCAUCCGCUUGCUAAUCUUUUUAAGAGAUCCAGUUAUGUUGAACCAAUUGCUAGUGAGUUUUGUGCACUAGAUUAUCUUUUUGAGGUUUUGCUUGAAAUCCGUGAAUCUAAAAAGUGUGAUGAAGUACUUCAUGAAGUGAUUCACGAUAGAUCUUUGAAUAAAAAGCAUGAUUGCAAUGAUGAUAGUAUAAAUUAUAUUAAUAUAAAUUGUGCUAAUAAUAUGCAAAACCCUAAGCUUGGGGAUGCUAGUUUUGCUAUGUCCUCUACUUGUUGCAAUGAUCAUGAUUGGGGUGAUUCUUCUUAUGAUCUUGAAAAUUUAUUUAAGCCCCAUGAUGAAUAUGAGAUUAAUUAUAAUGUUUGCAAUAAUAUUGAAAGUGCGUUUGGAAAGGUCAUGACUUUAGUUAAUGUUAAUCCCACUAUUUUGGAAGAGUGUCAACUUUACAUGCAUGUGGAUCAUGUUGAAAGUAUUCUAUGUGAUAUCUAUUUUGUUGAAUUUGCUUAUGAUCCUACAUGUAAUUAUUACGAGAGAGGAAAAUAUUAUGGUAGAAAUUUUCAUGUUACUAAAUUACCUCUCGUUAUGUUGAGAUUGCUAUUGUUUCUUCCCGUUUCCUUGCAUAUGCUAGUUUUUGAUUGCCUUGAUAAUUUGUUUGCCUAUAAGAUUCCUAUGCAUAGGAAGUAUGUUAGACUUAGAUGUGUUUGUCACGUGUUUUAUGAUGCUCUCUUUGUGCUUCAAUUCUUGGCUUUCAUGUGAGCAUCAUUGAAAUAUUAUGCCUAGCUAUAAGGCUUUAAAGAAAAGCGCUUGUUGGGAGACAACCCAAUAUUUAUCCUUGCUGUUAUUUAAUAAAUAAUUUAUUUAGCCUCUGUUUUGGUUGUGUUUUUUGUGUUUAAUUAGUGUUUGUGCCAAGUAGAACCGUUGGGAAGACUUGGGGAAACUCUUGUUGAACUUGCUGUAAAAAACAGAAACUUUAGCGCUCACGAGAACUGCUGUCAUUUUUAUUUGAAGAGUGCUAUUUAGUUAAUUAUUUUUCCAGAUGAUUAAUAGAUAAAUUCCUCACGUCCAGAAAUUUAUUUUAGAAUUUUUGGGGUUCCAGAUCUUGUGCUAGCUACAGAUUACUACAGACUGUUCUGUUUUUGGCAGAUUCUGUUUUUCGUGUGUUGUUUGCUUAUUUUGAUGAAUCUAUGGUUAGUAAAAUAGUUUAUAAUCCAUAGAGAAGUUGGAAUACAGUAGGUUUAACACCCAUGUAAAUAAAUAAUGAGUUCAUUACAGUACCUUGAAGUGGUCUUUUGUUUUCUUUCGCUAACGGAGCUCAGGAGUUUUCUACUUUAAGUUUUGUGUUGUGAAGUUUUCAAGUUUUGGGUGAAUUAUUGUGAUGGAUUAUGGAACAAGGAGUGGCAAGAGCCUAAGCUUGGGGAUGCCCAUUGAACCCCCAAGAUAAUCCAAGGAAACCAAAAAGUCAAAGCUUGGGGAUGCCCCGGAAGGCAUCCCCUCUUUCGUCCACUUCCAUCGGUAAUUUACUUAGAGCUAUAUUUUUAUUCACCAACAUGAUAUGUGUUUUGCUUGGAGCGUCUUGUAUUAUUUGUGUCUUUGUGUCUUAGUAUGCCACAAUCAUCCUUGCUGUACAGACCUUUUUGAGAGAUCCAUACAAGUAUUAAAAUUUGAUAGAAUACUCUAUUUGCUUCACUUAUAUCUUUUGAGCUAAGUAGUUUUGCUCUAUGUGCUUCACUUAUAUCUUUUGAGCUAAGUAGUUUUGCUCUAUGUGCUUCACUUAUAUCUUUUGAGCUAUAUAGUUUGCUCUAUGUGCUUCACUUAUACUCCCUCCGUAAACUAAUAUAAGAGCGUUUAGAAUACUAAAGUAGUGAUCUAAACGCUCUUAUAUUAGUUUACAGAGGGAGUAUCUUUUAAGCGUUAUAAUUUUGCUCUAUGUGCUUCACUUAGAUCUUUUAGAGGACGGUGGUGGAUUUGUUUUAAAGAAACUAUUGAUCUCUCAUGCUUCGCUUAAAUUAUUUUGAGAGACUCUUAAUAGCAUGGUAAUUUGCUUAAUAAUAAUAUGCUUGGUAUUCAAGACUUGUGAAACUUUCUUUUGAGUGUGUUGAAUACUAAGAAAAGAUUGAAGCAUGAUAAUUGUUUUGAGAUAUGGAGGUGAUAAUAUUAAAGUCAUGCUAGUUGAGUAGUUGUGAAUUUAAAGAAUACUUGUGUUAAAGUUUGUGAUUCCCAUAGCAUGCACGUACGGUGAACCGUUAUGUGAUGAAGUCGGAGCAUGAUUUAUUUAUUGAUUGUCUUCCUUAUGAGUGGCGGUCACGGACGAGCGAUGGUCUUUUCCUACCAAUCUAUCCCCCUAGGAGCAUGCGCGUAAUACUUUGCUUUGAUAACUUCUAGAUUUUUGCAAUAAGUAUAUGAGUUCUUUAUGACUAAUGUUGAGUCCAUGGAUCAUACGCACUCUCACCCUUCCACCUUUGCUAGCCUCUCUAAUACCGCGCACCUUUCGCCGGUAUCAUACACCUACCAUAUACCUUCCUCAAAACAGCCACCAUACCUACCUAUUAUGGCAUUUCCAUAGCCAUUCCGAGAUAUAUUGCCAUGCAACUUUCCACCAUUCCGUUUAUCAUGACACAUUCAUCAUUGUCAUAUUGCAUAUCCCGGUACACCGCCGGAGGCAUUCAUAUAGAGUCAUAUUUUGUUCUAAGUAUCGAGUUGUAAUUGUUGAGUUGUAAGAAAAAUAAAAGUGUGAUGAUCAUCAUUUUUAUAGCAUUGUCCCAAGUGAGGAAAGAAUGAUGGAGAUUAUGAUUCCCCCAUAAGUCGGGAUGAGACUCCGGACGAAAAAUAAAUAAAAGAGGCCAAAGAAGCCCAAAUAAAAAGAGAAAGAAAAGAGGCCAUAAAAAAGAGAAAAGGCCCAAAUAAAAAAAUAAUAAAAAAUGAGAGAAAAUGAGAGAAAAAGAGAGAAGGGACAAUGUUACUAUCCUUUUACCACACUUGUGCUUCAAAGUAGCACCAUGAUCUUCAUAGUAGAGAGUCUCUCAUGUUAUCACUUUCAUAUACUAAUGUGCAAGCAAGUUGGAUGCACACCCACUUAGUUUCUUUUUGAGAUUUCAUAUACUUAUAGCUCUAGUGCAUCCGUUGCAUGGCAAUCCCUACUCACUCACAUUGAUAUCUAUUGAUGGGCAUCUCCAUAGCCCGUUGAUACGCCUAGUUGAUGUGAGACUAUCUUCCCCUCCUUUUUGUCUUCUUCACAACCACCAUUCUAUUCCACCUAUAGUGCUAUAUCCAUGGCUCACGCUCAUGUAUUGCAUGAAGAUUGAAAAAGUUUUGAAAAAGUUAGAGUAUGAAACAAUUGCUUGGCUUGUCAUCGGGGUUGUGCAUGAUUUAAAUACUUUGUGUGGUGAAGAUAGAGCAUAGCCAGACUAUAUAAUUUUGUAGGGAUAACUUUCUUUGGCCAUGUUAUUUUGAGAAGACAUAAUUGCUUUGUUAGUAUGCUUGAAGUAUUAUUAUUUUUAUGUCAAUAUAAACUUUUGUCUUGAAUCUUUCGAAUCUAAAUAUUCAUAUCACAAUUAAGAAGAUUUGCAUUGAAAUUAUGCCAAGUAGCACUCCGCAUCAAAAAUUCUCUUUUUAUCAUUUACCUACUCGAGGACGAGCAGGAAUUAAGCUUGGGGAUGCCUGAUACGUCUCCAACGUAUCUAUAAUUUUUGAUUGCUCCAUGCUAUAUUAUCUACUAUUUUGGACUAUAUUGGGCUUUAUUUUCCACUUUUAUAUUAUUUUUGGGACUAACCUAUUAACCGGAGGCCCAGCCCAGAAUUGCUGUUUUUUUUCCUAUUUCAGUGUUUCGGAGAAACAGAAUAUCAAACGGAGUCCAAACGAAAUAAAAUCUUCGGGAACGUGAUUUUCUCACCGAACGUGAUCCAGGAGACUUGGACCCUACUCCAAGGAGUCAAAGAGGCGGUCACGAGGGUGGGGGAGCGCCCCCCUAAGGCGCGCCCCCUGCCUCGUGGGCCCCUCGGUGCUCCUCCGACGUACUCCUUCCUCCUAUAUAUACCUACUUACAAAGUUCUCCCCCUCUCCUGUGGAGAUCUAUUCAAUGUAAUCUUCUUUUUGCGGUGUGUUUGUUGAGACCGAUGAAUUGUGGGUUUAUGAUCAAGUCUAUCUAUGAAUAAUAUUUGAAUCUCCUCUGAAUUCUUUUAUGUAUGAUCAGUCAUCUUUGCAAGUCUCUUCAAAUUAUCCGUUUGGUUUGGCUAACUAGAUUGGUAGUUCUUGCCAUGGGAGAAGUGCUUAGCUUUGGGUUCGAUCUUGCGGUGUCCUUUCCCAGUGACAGAAGGGGCAGCAAGGCACAUAUUGCAUUGUUGCCAUCGAGGAUAACAAGAUGGGGUUUAUUUCAUAUUGCAUGAAUUUAUCUCUCUACGUCAUGUCAUCUUGCUUAAGCGUUACUCUGUUUUUAACUUAAUACUCUAGAUGCAUGCUGGAUAGCGGUCGAUGAGUGGAGUAAUAGUAGUAGAUGCAGAAUCAUUUCGGUCUACUUGUCACGGACGUGAUGUCUAUAUACAUGAUCAUUCCUAGAUAUUCUCAUAACUAUGCUCAAUUCUGUCAAUUGCUCAACAAUAAUUUGUUCACCCACCGUGGAAUACUUAUGCUCUCGAGAGAAGCCACUAGUGAAACCUAUGGCCCCCGGGUCUAUUCUCAUCAUAUCAAUCUCCAUCACUUUAAUCUUGUUUUGCUUUCUACUUUGCCUUUACUUUCUACUUUGCAUCCUUAUACCAAAAAUAUUAUAUCUAUCAGAUCUCACUCUCGUAAGUGACCGUGAAGGGACUGACAACCCCUAAUCGCGUUGGUUGCGAGUAGCUGUCGUUCUGUGCAGGUACGAGGGACUUGAGCAUGGCCUCCUACUGGAUUGAUACCUUGGUUCUCAAAAACUGUGGCAAUUACUUAUGCUACUCUGCUGCAUCAUCCCUUCCUCUUCGGGGAAAACCAACGCAAGCUCAAGACGUAGCAGGUAGCAAUGCCGCCAGGUGUUGCGGUGGGCCCUACUAUGCUUGUGGAAGCAUGGUGGCACGCUCAGGCACCCGACACAUGACUCCGGGGUGUGCCCCCCUCACGGGCCUCACUGCCGCCAUGUCUCGGAGGUGGAAAACGGCAUCCAUCAUGGAAAGUGGACUAUCAUGGUGAAACCUUCAGACUAUUUUUGGGCGAGGUGAGACUAUUUUUUCAUUGUGCUGAGAGUCACACAUAUGUCGUAAUUAAAAAAAUAAAAAAAUGCAAAUUAUCUAUGCCGACGGCUUAGCCGUCGGCAUAGCAGCGCGCACGGCCACGGAUCGAUGACGUGGCAAAGGGUCGGGCCUAUGCCGACGGCCAAGCCGUCGGCAUAGGUUGACCAUAUCCGCUGCGGUUCGCCCCGACCACCCAUUCCCCAUCUCCCCCUUCCCCCCGACCCACACCCAACCCCUACCGCUGACGCCCACCUCCUCCGCAGCCCGCUCCUCNNNNNNNNNNNNNNNNNNNNNNNNNNNNNNNNNNNNNNNNNNNNNNNNNNNNNNNNNNNNNNNNNNNNNNNNNNNNNNNNNNNNNNNNNNNNNNNNNNNNNNNNNNNNNNNNNNNNNNNNNNNNNNNNNNNNNNNNNNNNNNNNNNNNNNNNNNNNNNNNNNNNNNNNNNNNNNNNNNNNNNNNNNNNNNNNNNNNNNNNNNNNNNNNNNNNNNNNNNNNNNNNNNNNNNNNNNNNNNNNNNNNNNNNNNNNNNNNNNNNNNNNNNNNNNNNNNNNNNNNNNNNNNNNNNNNNNNNNNNNNNNNNNNNNNNNNNNNNNNNNNNNNNNNNNNNNNNNNNNNNNNNNNNNNNNNNNNNNNNNNNNNNNNNNNNNNNNNNNNNNNNNNNNNNNNNNNNNNNNNNNNNNNNNNNNCCCCUCCGCGACCUCGCACCGGUCGCCCGCAUCGACCCUGCGCCGCCACGCCCCGACCCCGCGCCGUCCCUCUCCGACCCCGCGCCGGCCUCCCCGCCCCAACUCCAGCCGACCGUCUCGAAGGUGAAAAUUUAUGUAUUUUUAGUGUUUUUUUAGUAAUUUUGUAGCUAGUUAGAUAGAUAGUUAGAUAGGUAUUUAGGUAGGUAUUUAGAUAGUUAGAUACAUAGUUAGAUAGAUAGUUAUAUAGAUAGUUAGAUAGUUAGAUAGAUAGUGAGAUAGGUAGUAAAAAAAUUUGGUUAGAUGAGAUGCUAUAUGUUGCAUAUCUUGAAAAAAAAUUGGUUCGAUGAGAUGAAUCAAUGAUUAUGACGAAUAGGUGAUAAUGAUGAUGAUGAAUAUGUGAUGACGAUGAUGAAUAUAUUGUUAAUGUUGUUACUUUUUUGCCUACAUGAUGCAAAAAUGAAUGAAUGCAUGUUUAAAUGUUUUUAAUAUGCUCUAUGAGUUGUGAUGUUCUAAUUUUUUGCCGCGAUGUAAUUUGCAGGCUUUGUGGUGUCGCAUUUCAUCGGAGUGACCGUUGUCCGAUGCGCUGGUCCCCCUAAGCACCUCUCUGCUGUUCGACUACUUCCUCUACAGCCGAGGGUGAGCUACAAGUCCAUCUCCAUUUUUUCAUAUCACUAGAUUUCAUUCUCAAGUCAACUGGCGUAACCUAGGCAUCCCCCGUCUGAAAGGGUUGCAUCGAUAAAUAUGCAUUCAAUUGCAUAUUUAUCAUCGCAGCUCUUUCGGAUUGUCCAGCUUUUUUCGCGGACAGCCCGAGGAUGUGUAGAUUGGGUAUGUUCUCCAUGUUCUACCCCAUUCCGAGACAGGAUUUCGGCGGCGCCUCCCAAUUGUUCUCCGGAGCACAUUCUCUCGGCUAUUUGCCGAGACGUGUAUCUGGAGAACAGCGGGGAGGUGCUGCCGAAAUUUUGUCUCGGAACGGGGUAGAAUGGAGAACGUACUCAAUCUACACAUCCUCGGGUGGGAUUAGGACCCAUCUUUACCUAUUAGAGAUGUAGGUGGAUUCAACACGGUAGAAACUAAAAAUUUGAUGUGAUUAAUUUAAGUGAAUCCUAAAUUAUGUUGGGUGGCUUGCAAAAAAGCAAAGGAUGGCAGAUAGUCAGUGGAUGUACAGUGGUUUUAUCCGUCUGAAUCGAGUAACAUCAGAGUGGAUUGCGAAAACCGAUGUGUAUUUGAAGGAGAUAUUUCGUCGUCCAAUGAGAAUUAUCCCACCAUGCCCAUGUGCGAGAUGUGCCAGACGUCACCGUAGAAACCAGACGGACAUGAGUGAGCACCUUCACACGCACGGAUAUAUGCCAAACUUUGACAUGCCGCUGAUAAACAUAGCCGAGCAGGACCGUGGUAGAGAGGAGGUGAUGCGACAAUGCAUCGAUGGAUAUGAGGACGAUGGGGUCAGGGAGAUGCUAGAUGAUGUCAUUGUUGCAGAAAUGGCAAAUGUGACACCUUCAGAGAAUGAACCGGAGGAGCCGGAGGCAACCGCAAAGGCCUUCUUGGAGGUCUUGGCCUCGUCGAAGAAACCUCUUUAUGCGGGUGCGAAAAUAUCUCAGUUGGAUGCCAUCUAGCAACUAAUUGCAGUCAAGGCUGAGUAUGGCUGUAGCCAAAAAUGCUUCGAAGCAUUCCUGGGAGUAUGGGCUAACAGCCUCCCUGAGGGUCAUGAACUGCUGAAAAGCAUGUACGAUACAAAUUAAAUCAUGAAGGCACUCUCUAUGGAUUAUGAGAAAAUAGUUGUUUGCCUGAAGAAUUGCCUUUUGUUUAGGCAUGAGUAUGCGGAUCACAAGUACUGUAGGAAGUGCGGUUUGUCUCGGUACAUUGAGGUGGUCGGUGAGGAUGGUGAGAAAAAGCAGCUAACCAUCCCCGUUAAGGUUCUUCGGUAUCUUGAUUUUAUAAAAAGACUGCAGCGCCUUUUCAUCACGAAUGAGUCUGCCAAAAUGAUGAAGUGGCACAAGGAAGUAUAAGGUACAAUCCAAAAAAAAUCGUACAUCCAUCUUGCGCGGAAGCAUGGAAGUCGUUCGAUGAAGAAUACCCCGAGGACGCAGCAGAGGCUGGGAAUGUCAGAAUAGCCAUAUGAGGUGAUGGGUUGAAUCCAUAUGGUAUGUCAUCCAAUCCAUACAGCUGCUGGGCCGUGUUUGUAAUUCCGCUCAAUCUUCCUCCCGGUGCCUUAAUGCAACGGAAGACCAUGUUCUUGUCGCUCAUCAUUUCGGGGCCUGAAUACCCGGGGAAGCAAUUGGGUGUGUUUAUGCAGCCGCUGGUGGAUGCUUUGCACCAUUCUUGGUACUUUCCAAGGUUGACAUACAACCAGGAUCUGCAGAGAAAUUUCUUGAUGAAAGUUUGGUUGCACUAUUGCAUGCAUGAAUUUCCCAGCUAUGCUCUAUUCUGCGGAUGGUGUACAAAUGGGAAGAUGCCAUGCCCAGUGUGCAUGCAGGCUCUGCGAAUGAUUUGGCUGAGUAAGGGUUGCAAGUAUGUAGCCUUUGACCUGCAUCGACAGUUCCUCCCUCCAGACCAUCCAGACAGGGAAGACAAGAAAACUUCACGAAAGGCUGGGUUGUUCAUGAAGUAACCGAGAUUCCAACAUUUUCGGGGGCAGAUGUUCUUGCUCAGCUAAAAGCUCUCAAGGCUAAAGUCAAAGGCAAAGGCAAAUCCAAAGCCAAAGGCUUCGAGGGAUAUGGUGAGACGCACAACUGGACUCACAUUACCCCCUUCUCGCAGCUUCCCUAUUUCAAGGACCUCAAACUUCCUUACAAUAUUGAUGUGAUGCACACCGAAAAGAAUGUGGCAGAGUCCCUUUUCCACACGAUCCUCAACAUUCCUGAUAAGACGAAGGACAACGUUAAAGCUAGAGCCGAUCAACAGAGAAUUUGUGAUAGACCACGCCUGAACAUGAAGCCUCCCACAGGCGGUCGAAAAAACUGGUUCAAGCCAAAUGCUGACUUUUUCCUUAAACCGCCAGAAAAAAAGGAAGUACUUAUCUGGCUGAAACAAAUUUUGAAGUUCACCGAUGGUUAUGCAUCGAAUAUAAGUAAGGGAGUCAAUCUUUCAACGGGCAAAGUGACCGGCCUGAAGAGUCAUGACUACCAUGUAUGGAUUGAGCGGAUAAUGCCGGUGAUGGUUCGAGGCUAUGUUCCCAAGCUUGUCUGGCGAGUGCUUGCCGAGCUUAGCCAUUUCUUCCGCACGCUCUGUGCUAAAGAAGUAAGUAAAGAGGAGAUUGAAAAAUUGCAUAAGAAUGCACCAGAGUUGAUAGUCAAGCUAGAGAAGAUCUUUCUACCAGGCUUCUUUACUCCGAUGACACAUCUCAUUAUGCACCUCGUGAACGAGGUAUUGUUGGGGGGGCCUGUGCAGAAUCGCUGGCAGUACGGCCCUGAGAGACAGAACAAGCAUCUCCAACGGAAAUGUGGAAACAAAGCUAAGAUUGAAGCUUCCAUAGCUGAGGCAGUUAUCCUAGAGGAGGUGUCAGACCUCAGGACAUCCUACUAUCCAGACCACGUUCCCUAUCUGCAUAACGAGGUGCCUCAAUACAAUAUAGAAGAGCCCAAGUAUCAACCCAGGCUCCAUCUAUUCAACGCGCAAGGUGGGAGGGCUGGGGCCUCGAAAUCUUAUAACAUGCCACGACAAGAGUGGGAGGACCUCAUGUUCUAUAUCUUGCACAACAUCAAGGAAGUUGAGGAAGUGUGGAUGAGGUAAUACCACUACACCAUCCCUUUAUGUCUUCCACAUCAUCAUGUUCCAUGUUCACUUAGUCCCGGUCUAACACCGCUUUUCUUUUUUUAGUGAUUUCAUUCAAGAGGAAUGGACGGGAAUGAAUCCUCCUACUGAGGCGGAGGCACUUACUCUUCUCCGUCAUGGAAACCCUGGACGUAAAUUUUUUUUUUGCUUGGUUCAUGGAGAAAGUAAUUUUCCACACUCCCCUAUUAAAUACCUAGUUCAACAUAUAUUAGUUAACCGAACUAAUGCACGCAACAAUUUCAAUUAUACUUGUAGGGAAAAGAUCCGAACAUAUCUGUGGAUGAUGAAUUGAGAUGGGUUUCCAUGGGUUUUGACCCUGCCGUCAUGACAUGUAAAAAGUAUGAUGUGAAUGGGUAUCGCUUCCAUACAGAGGAGCACCAAAACAGCCGGCCCAAUCCCAAAACUAUAAAUACCGAAGUGUACACCCCGGUCAAAAUUCAUUAGACUACUAUGGAAGGGUACAAAAUAUAUACGAGAUUAAAUUCCGCCAGGGGCGUGAGACCCUAAGUCUGCCUGUGUUCAAAUGCCGAUGGUUCGAUCCGCGGGAGGGGGUAAAACAUACGCCUUCCAUUGGUUUGGUCGAAGUUAAACCAUCAACCGUCUAUGCCAGAGUCGAUCUCUUCAUUGCGGCUACCCAAGCUACACAAGUAUAUUAUCUUCCUUACCCAUGCCAGAAAGAGUAUCUAAAGGGUUGGGAAGUUGUGUUCAAGGUGUCGCCACAUGGUAAGAUACCGGACCCGAAUGAAGACGAUUACUACAACAUUAACCCCAUGGCAUACGAGGGAGUGUUCUAUCAAGAGCAACCUGAUGAUGAUGAUGUGGUUAGAAACGAUGAUGCUAGACCAUUGGGUGAUGAUGAUGUGGAUCCAAACGUCGACGAUGCACGGAAUGAUGGUGAGACCAUUGUCAAUGAAAAUGACAUACUUAUGCUAGAAAAGGUAAACGAAGACGCUGACGACGAGGAAGAGCCUCCACCUCUGUCGGACAACGAAGAUGAUAUGAUUGAUAGUGAUGAUAAGACGGACCGAGAAAGAGGUUACGACAGUGAUGAUUCAUAUGGAUUCUAGCAAAUGUACGUUUCAAGUCUUUUUUUCUAUAGUUUAGGAAUAUGCCUUUUUAUGCAUUUUUAUUAAUGUGUUUAUUAUCAUGCCUUUUCCUUCAUUUCAUUAAUUUACUAAUUGCUGAUUCUCUUUUCAAUGUAGGUUCGUUGAACAUGGGCAAGGGGAAGGCCGACGGCAUGGGUUUCCUACGCAAGGUCGUCGGCCUGCCUAGUCGGAGUGGUCGAUCACGUAAUCCUCCCCCUCGGCUACUUGACGAUGACUCCUCAUAGGGAGGUCGAGGGAGAGGUGCCCCUAGAGGAGGAGGGGUUAGGGGGAGAGCCUCUAGAGGGCGAGGUGGUGGGGGAGAGCCACUACAGGGGGUCGCGGCCAGAAAGAGGGCACCCUCACCGGCUUAGGGGUGUUGUCUUCGAGGCCCUCCUCUAGUGAGGUACCCUCUGGCGAGGAGGAGGAGGAGGAGGAGGAGGAGGAGGUUCAGGAUGGGGCAAAGGNNNNNNNNNNNNNNNNNNNNNNNNNNNNNNNNNNNNNNNNNNNNNNNNNNNNNNNNNNNNNNNNNNNNNNNNNNNNNNNNNNNNNNNNNNNNNNNNNNNNNNNNNNNNNNNNNNNNNNNNNNNNNNNNNNNNNNNNNNNNNNNNNNNNNNNNNNNNNNNNNNNNNNNNNNNNNNNNNNNNNNNNNNNNNNNNNNNNNNNNNNNNNNNNNNNNNNNNNNNNNNNNNNNNNNNNNNNNNNNNNNNNNNNNNNNNNNNNNNNNNNNNNNNNNNNNNNNNNNNNNNNNNNNNNNNNNNNNNNNNNNNNNNNNNNNNNNNNNNNNNNNNNNNNNNNNNNNNNNNNNNNNNNNNNNNNNNNNNAAGGAGGAGGUGGAGGAGGAGGCAUGCGAGGAGGAGGAGGACGAGGAGGAGGAGGAGGAGAAGGAGGAGGAGGUUGGGGAGGGGGAGGCAGGCGAGGAGGAGGGUGGUGGCGGGAAGGGGAUUGACAACAAGGGGUGGCUGCGUGGUAAUGCAAAGCUACCAAAGUAACCUUGCUACUGAGGAGCAGAAGUGGCUCAUUGAGCCCACGGGGAAAGAGUAAGUGCCACUUUAUAAUAAUUUCAUUAUUUUGCUUGUCACAUGCUUAUUCCGGUUGUUAUUUAUUUUGCUUAUCAGAUGCUAAUAGUUCAUUCUAUUGCAGCAACUGGAUAUAUUAUAAAGGGGUCCGUAUUCCCAACGGCGUCAUCACCAUCUUGCUGAAGUUAUACUGGCCGGGGUUGAAGGAAAUAUGCCCUAGAGGCAAUAAUAAAGUUAUUAUUUAUUUCCUUAUAAUCAUGAUAAAUGUUUAUUAUUCAUGCUAGAAUUGUAUUAACCGGAAACAUAAUACAUGUGUGAAUACAUAGACAAACAAAAUGUCACUAGUAUGCCUCUAAUUGACUAGCUCGUUAAUCAAAGAUGGUUAUGUUUCCUAACCAUGAACAAUGAGUUGUUAUUUGAUUAACGAGGUCACAUCAUUAGUUGAAUGAUCUGAUUGACAUGACCCAUUCCAUUAGCUUAGCACCCGAUCGUUUAGUAUGUUGCUAUUGCUUUCUUCAUGACUUAUACAUGUUCCUAUGACUAUGAGAUUAUGCAACUCCCGUUUGCCGGAGGAACACUUUGGGUGCUACCAAACGUCACAACGUAACUGGGUGAUUAUAAAGGAGCAUUACAGGUGUCUCCAAAGGUAGAUGUUGGGUUGGCGUAUUUCGAGAUUAGGAUUUGUCACUCCGAUUGUCGGAGAGGUAUCUCUGGGCCCUCUCGGUAAUGCACAUCACUUAAGCCUCGCAAGCAUUACAACUAAAUGAGUUAGUUGCGGGAUGAUGUAUUACAGAACGAGUAAAGAGACUUGCCGGUAAUGAGAUUGAACUAGGUAUUGGAAUACCGACGAUCGAAUCUCAGGCAAGUAACAUACCGAUGACAAAGGGAACAACGUAUGUUGUUAUGCGGUCUGACCGAUAAAGAUCUUCGUAGAAUAUGUAGGAGCCAAUAUGGGCAUCCAGGUCCCGCUAUUGGUUAUUGACCGGAGACGUGUCUCGGUCAUGUCUACAUUGUUCUCGAACCCGUAGGGUCCGCACGCUUAAGGUUUCGAUGACAGUUAUAUUAUGAGUUUAUGCAUUUUGAUAUACCGAAGGUUGUUCGGAGUCCCGGAUGUGAUCACGGACAUGUUGAGGAGUCUCGAAAUGGUAGAGACAUAAAGAUUGAUAUAUUGGAAGCCUAUGUUUGGAUAUCGGAAGUGUUCCGGGUGAAAUCGGGAUUUUACCGGAGUACCGGGAGGUUACCGGAACCCCCCGGGAACCAUAUGGGCCUUGAUGGGCCUUAGUGGAAAGGAGAAAGGGGCAGCCCAAGGUGGCCGCGUGCCUCCCCCCUUCCCCUAGUCCUAUUAGGACUAGGAGAGGUGGUCGGCCCCCCUCUCUCUCUUUCNNNNNNNNNNNNNNNNNNNNNNNNNNNNNNNNNNNNNNNNNNNNNNNNNNNNNNNNNNNNNNNNNNNNNNNNNNNNNNNNNNNNNNNNNNNNNNNNNNNNNNNNNNNNNNNNNNNNNNNNNNNNAGAGGGAGUAGGACUCUCCUGGCGCGCCUCCUAUGGCCGGCCAGCCUCCCCCCUCUAGUCCUUUAUAUAUUGAGGCAGAGGCACCCUAGAACACACAAGUUGAUCCACGUGAUCUAUUCCUUAGCCGUGUGCGGUGCCCCCUGCCACCAUAGUCCUUGAUAAUACUGUAGCGGAGUUUAGGCAAAGCCCUGCUGCUGUAGUGCAUCCAGAUCGUCACCACGCCGUCGUGCUGACGGAACUCUUCCCCGACGCUUUGCUGGAUCGGAGUCCGGGGAUCGUCAUCGAGCUGAACGUGUGCACAAACUCGGAGGUGCCGUAGUUUCGGUGCUUGAUCGGUUGGAUCGUGAAGACGUACGACUACUUCCUCUAUGUUGUGUCAUUGCUUCCGCAGUCGGUCUGCGUGGGUACGUAGACAACACUCUCCCCUCUCGUUGCGAUGCAUCACAUGAUCUUGCGUGUGCGUAGGAAAUUUUUUGAAAUGGCUACGAAACCCAAUAGUGGUAUCAGAGCCUAGGUUAUUUAUGUUGAAUGUUAUAUGCACGAGUAGAACACAAGUGAGUUGUGGGCGAUAUAAGUCAUACUGCCUACCAGCAUGUCAUACUUUGGUUCGACGGCAUUGUUGGACGAGACGACCUGGACCAACCUUACGUACGCUUAUGCGAGACCGGUUCCCCCGACGUGCUUUGCACAUAGGUGGCUUGCGGGCGACUGUCUCUCCAACUUUAGUUGAACCGAGUAUGGCUACGCCCGGUCCUUGCGAAGGUUAAAACGGAGUCUAUUUGACAAACUAUCGUUGUGGUUUUGAUGCGUAGGUGAGAUUGGUUCUUGCUUAAGCCCGUAGCAGCCACGUAAAACUUGCAACAACAAAGUAGAGGACGUCUAACUUGUUUUUGCAGGGCAUGUUGUGAUGUGAUAUGGUCAAGACAUGAUGCUGAAUUUUAUUGUAUGAGAUGAUCAUGUUUUGUAACCGAGUUAUCGGCAACUGGCAGGAGCCAUAUGGUUGUCGCUUUAUUGUAUGCAAUGAAAUCGCGAUGUAAUGCUUUACUUUAUUACUAAGCGGUAGUGAUAGUCGUGGAAGCAUAAGCUUGGCGAGACGACAACGAUGCUACGAUGGAGAUCAAGGUGUCACGCCGGUGACGAUGGUGAUCACGACGGUGCUUCGGAGAUGGAGAUCACAAGCACAAGAUGAUGAUGGCCAUAUCAUAUCACUUAUAUUGAUUGCAUGUGAUGUUUAUCCUUUUUAUGCAUCUUAUCUUGCUUUGAUUGACGGUAGCAUUAUAAGAUGAUCUCUCACUAAAUUAUCAAGAAGUGUUCUCCCUGAGUAUGCACCGUUGCAAAAGUUCUUCGUGUUGAGACACCACGUGAUGAUCGGGUGUGAUAGGUUCUACGUUCAAAUACAACGGGUGCAAAACAGUUGCACACGCGGAAUACUCAGGUUAUACUUGACGAGCCAAGCAUAUACAGAUAUGGCCUCGGAACACGGAGACCGAAAGGUCGAGCGUGAAUCAUAUAGUAGAUAUGAUCAACAUAACGAUGUUCACCAUUGAAAACUACUCCAUCUCACGUGAUGAUCGGUUAUGGUUUAGUUGAUUUGGAUCACGUAAUCACUUAGAGGAUUAGAGGGAUGUCUAUCUAAGUGGGAGUUCUUUAAUUAACUUGAUUAAACUGAACUUAAAUUUAUCAUGAAACUUAGUACCUGAUUAGUAUCUUGCUUGUUUAUGUUUGAUUGUAGAUAGAUGGCUCGUGCUGUUGUUCCGUUGAAUUUUAAUGCGUUCCUUGAGAAAGCAAAGUUGAAAGAUGAUGGUAGCAAUUACAUGGACUGGGUCCGUAACUUGAGGAUUAUCCUCAUUGCUGCACAGAAGAAUUACGUCCUGGAAGCACCGCUGGGUGCCAGGCCUGCUGCAGGAGCAACGCCGGAUGUUAUGAACGUCUGGCAGAGCAAAGCUGAUGACUACUCGAUAGUUCAGUGUGCCAUGCUUUACGGCUUAGAAUCGGGACUUCAACGAUGUUUUGAACGUCAUGGAGCAUAUGAGAUGUUUCAGGAGUUGAAGUUAAUAUUUCAAGCAAAUGCCUGGAUUGAGAGAUAUAAAGUCUCCAAUAAGUUCUAUAGCUGCAAGAUGGAGGAGAACAGUUCUGUCAGUGAGCAUAUACUCAAAAUGUCUGGGUAUAAUAAUCACUUGAUUCAAUUGGGAGUUAAUCUUCCAGAUGAUAGCGUCAUUGACAGAAUUUUUCAAUCACUGCCACCAAGCUACAAGAGCUUCGUGAUGAACUAUAAUAUGCAAGGGAUGAACAAGGCUAUUCCCGAGCUCUUCGCGAUGCUGAAAGCUGCGGAGGUAGAAAUCAAGAAGGAGCAUCAAGUGUUGAUGGUCAACAAGACCACUAGUUUCAAGAAAAAGGGCAAAGGGAAGAAGAAGGGGAACUACAAAAAGAGCGGCAAGCAAGUUGCUACUCAAGAGAAGAAACCCAAACCUGGACCUAAGCCUGAAACUGAGUGCUUCUAUUGCAAGUAGACUGGUCACUGGAAGCGGAACUGCCCAAGUAUUUGGCGGAUAAGAAGGAUGGCAAGGUGAACAAAGGUAUAUGUGAUAUACAUGUUAUUGAUGUGUACCUUACUAAUGCUCGCAGUAGUACAUGGGUAUUUGAUACUGGUUCUGUUGCUAAUAUUUGCAACUCGAAACAGGGACUACGGAUCAAGCGAAGAUUGGUUAAGGACGAGGUGACGAUGCGCGUGGGAAACGGUUCCAAAGUCGAUGUGAUCGCAGUCGGCACGCUACCUCUACAUCUACCUUCGGGAUUAGUAUUAGACCUAAAUAAUUGUUAUUUGGUGCCAGCGUUAAGCAUGAACAUUAUAUCUGGAUCUUGUUUGAUGCGAGACGGUUAUUCAUUUAAAUCAGAGAAUAAUGGUUGUUCUAUUUAUAUGAGUAAUAUCUUUUAUGGUCAUGCACCCUUGAAGAGUGGUCUAUUCUUGUUGGAUCUCGAUAGUAGUAACACACAUAUUCAUAAUGUUGAAGCCAAAAGAUGCAAAGUUGAUAAUGAUAGUGCGACUUAUUUGUGGCACUGCCAUUUAGGACAUAUCGGUGUAAAGCGCAUGAAGAAACUCCAUUCCGAUGGACUUUUGGAACCACUUGAUUAUGAAUCACUUGGUACUUGCGAACCAUGCCUCAUAGGCAAGAUGACAAAAACGCCGUUCUCCGGUACUAUGGAGAGAGCAACAGAUUUGUUGGAAAUCAUACAUACAGAUGUAUGUAGUCCGAUGAAUAUUGAGGCUCGUGGCGGAUAUCGUUAUUUUCUCACCUUCACAGAUGAUUUAAGCAGAUAUGGGUAUAUCUACUUAAUGAAACAUAAGUCUGAAACAUUUGAAAAGUUCAAAGAAUUUCAGGGUGAAGUUGAAAAUCAUCGUAACAAGAAAAUAAAGUUUCUACGAUCUGAUCAUGGAGGAGAAUAUUUGAGUUACGAGUUUGGUGUACAUUUGAAAAAUUGUGGAAUAGUUUCGCAACUCACGCCACCCGGAACACCUCAGCGUAAUGGUGUGUCCGAAUGUCGUAAUCGUACUUUACUGGAUAUGGUGCGAUCUAUGAUGUCUCUUAUUGAUUUACCGCUAUCGUUUUGGGGAUACGCUCUAGAGACGGCCGCAUUCACGUUAAAUAGGGCACCAUCAAAAUCCGUUGAGACGACGCCUUAUGAACUGUGGUUUGGCAAGAAACCAAAGUUGUCGUUUCUAAAAGUUUGGGGCUGCGAUGCUUAUGUGAAAAAGCUUCAACCUGAUAAGCUCGAACCCAAAUCGGAGAAAUGUGUCUUCAUAGGAUAUCCAAAGGAAACUAUUGGAUACACCCGUAGCGAUGCUUAAGUCUGUCCGAAUCAUGUUAGCAAUUGCCGCAUUUUAUGAUUAUGAAAUUUGGCAGAUGGAUGUCAAAACUGCAUUCCUGAAUGGAUUUCUGGAAGAAGAGUUGUAUAUGAUGCAACCAGAAGGUUUUGUCGAUCCAAAGGGAGCUAACAAAGUGUGCAAGCUCCAGCGAUCCAUUUAUGGACUGGUGCAAGCCUCUCGGAGUUGGAAUAAACGUUUUGAUAGUCUGAUCAAAGCAUUUGGUUUUAUACAGACUUUUGGAGAAGCCUGUAUUUACAAGAAAGUGAGUGGGAGCUCUGUAGCAUUUCUGAUAUUAUAUGUGGAUGACAUAUUGUUGAUUGGAAAUGAUAUAGAAUUUCUGGAUAGCAUAAAAGGAUACUUGAAUAAGAGUUUUUCAAUGAAAGACCUCGGUGAAGCUGCUUACAUAUUAGGCAUUAAGAUCUAUAGAGAUAGAUCAAGACGCUUAAUUGGACUUUCACAAGCAACAUACCUUGACAAAAUUUUGAAGAAGUUCAAAAUGGAUCAAGCAAAGAAAGGAUUCUUGCCUGUGUUACAAGGUGUGAAAUUGAGUAAGACUCAAUGCCCGACCACUGCAGAAGAUAGAGAGAAUAUGAAAGAUGUUCCCUAUGCAUCAGCGAUAGGAUCUAUCAUGUAUGCAAUGCUAUGUACCAGACCUGAUGUGUGCCUUGCUAUAAGUCUGGCAGGGAGGUACCAAAGUAAUCCAGGAGUGGAUCACUGGACAGCGGUCAAGAACAUCCUGAAAUACCUGAAAAGGACUAAGGAUAUGCUUCUCAUAUAUGGAGGUGACAAAGAGCUCGUCGUAAAAGGUUACGUUGAUGCAAGCUUUGACACUGAUCCGGACGAUUCUAAAUUGCAAACCGGAUACAUGUUUACAUUAAACGGUGGAGCUGUCAGUUGGUGCAGUUCUAAACAAGGCGUCGUAGCGGGAUCUACAUGUGAAGCGGAGUACAUAGCUGCUUUGGAAGCAGCGAACGAAGGAGUCUGGAUGAAGGAGUUCAUAUCCGAUCUAGGUGUCAUACCUAGUGCAUCGGGUCCAAUGAAAAUCUUUUGUGACAAUACUGGUGCAAUUGCCUUGGCAAAGGAAUCCAGAUUUCACAAGAGAACCAAGCACAUCAAGAGACACUUCAAUUCCAUCCGGGAUCUAGUCCAGGUGGGAGACAUAGAGAUUUGCAAGAUACAUACGGAUCUGAAUGUUGCAGACCCAUUGACUAAGCCUCUUCCACGAGCAAAACAUGAUCAGCACCAAAGCUCCAUGGGUGUUAGAAUCAUUACAGUGUAAUCUAAAUUAUUGACUCUAGUGCAAGUGGGAGACUGAAGGAAAUAUGCCCUAGAGGCAAUAAUAAAGUUAUUAUUUAUUUCCUUAUAAUCAUGAUAAAUGUUUAUUAUUCAUGCUAGAAUUGUAUUAACCGGAAACAUAAUACAUGUGUGAAUACAUAGACAAACAAAAUGUCACUAGUAUGCCUCUAAUUGACUAGCUCGUUAAUCAAAGAUGGUUAUGUUUCCUAACCAUGAACAAUGAGUUGUUAUUUGAUUAACGAGGUCACAUCAUUAGUUGAAUGAUCUGAUUGACAUGACCCAUUCCAUUAGCUUAGCACCCGAUCGUUUAGUGUGUUGCUAUUGCUUUCUUCAUGACUUAUACAUGUUCCUAUGACUAUGAGAUUAUGCAACUCCCGUUUGCCGGAGGAACACUUUGGGUGCUACCAAACGUCACAACAUAACUGGGUGAUUAUAAAGGAGCAUUACAGGUGUCUCCAAAGGUAGAUGUUGGGUUGGCGUAUUUCGAGAUUAGGAUUUGUCACUCCGAUUGUCGGAGAGGUAUCUCUGGGCCCUCUCGGUAAUGCACAUCACUUAAGCCUUGCAAGCAUUACAACUAAAUGAGUUAGUUGCGGGAUGAUGUAUUACAGAACGAGUAAAGAGACUUGCCGGUAACGAGAUUGAACUAGGUAUUGGAAUACCGACGAUCGAAUCUCAGGCAAGUAACAUACCGAUGACAAAGGGAACAACGUAUGUUGUUAUGCGGUCUGACCGAUAAAGAUCUUCGUAGAAUAUGUAGGAGCCAAUAUGGGCAUCCAGGUCCCGCUAUUGGUUAUUGACCGGAGACGUGUCUCGGUCAUGUCUACAUUGUUCUCGAACCCAUAGGGUCCGCACGCUUAAGGUUUCGAUGACAGUUAUAUUAUGAGUUUAUGCAUUUUGAUAUACCGAAGGUUGUUCGGAGUCCCGGAUGUGAUCACAGACAUGACGAGGAGUCUCAAAAUGGUCGAGACAUAAAGAUUGAUAUAUUGGAAGCCUAUGUUUGGAUAUCGGAAGUGUUCCGGGUGAAAUCGGGAUUUUACCGGAGUACCGGGAGGUUACCGGAACCCCCCGGGAACCAUAUGGGCCUUGAUGGGCCUUAGUGGAAAGGAGAAAGGGGCAGCCCAAGGUGGUUGCGCGCCUCCCCCCUUCCCCUAGUCCUAUUAGGACUAGGAGAGGUGGCCGGCCCCCCUCUCUCUCUCUUUCUCCCCUCAAGGAGUCCUAUUCCAACUAGGAUUGGGGGGAAUCCUACUCCCAGAGGGAGUAGGACUCUCCUGGCGCGCCUCCUAUGGCCAGCCAGCCUCCCCCCCUCUAGUCCUUUAUAUACUGAGGAAGAGGCACCCUAGAACACACAAGUUGAUCCACGUGAUCUAUUCCUUAGCCGUGUGCGGUGCCCCCUGCCACCAUAGUCCUCGAUAAUACUGUAGCGGAGUUUAGGCGAAGCCCUGUUGCUGUAGUGCAUCAAGAUCGUCACCACGCCGUCGUGCUGACGGAACUCUUCCCCGACGCUUUGCUCGAUCGGAUUCCGGGGAUCGUCAUCGAGCUGAACGUGUGCACGAACUCGGAGGUGCCGUAGUUUCGGUGCUUGAUCGGUUGGAUCGUGAAGACGUACGACUACUUCCUCUAUGUUGUGUCAUCGCUUCCGCAGUCGGUCUGCGUGGGUACAUAGACAACACUCUCCCCUCUCGUUGCGAUGCAUCACAUGAUCUUGCGUGUGCGUAGGAAAUUUUUUGAAAUUACUGCGAAACCCAACAGGGGUUGUACUAUCCGGAUCCAGUCAGGCACCCGGACCAUCGGGUUUUGGCCACGAGCUGGGACCACUGGGAAGCGGCCCUCCAUGCGGACCAUGAGACCCAUGCUAAGGCCGUGAUCACUACUUUCUGGGUGAGUUCUCUUCAGAAGCACAAGUCCAUUCUAGUUUCAUGAAUGAUUUAACUCAUGGCUUCUUCCAUUGUUGUUUCAUGCAUGAUUGUAGAAAUUCUAUCGAGUUCUUCCGGAGCACAGGGCCAGAGCGGACCAGAUCGUGCUGCGCCAAUGCAAGAAGAAGGCCCGCCAGAUACAGUACGAGGUGCGCUAUGUGGCCAUCUCGACAUACUAUCACGACGCUCUUGUUGUGAAGAUGACCAAGGAAGAAGCGCGGAGGAUGGGCAUUACCUUGGAGAGGCACGAGUACUUGGCGGUAAGUAUAAAAGAUUUUUCAUUAUGAUUUCAUUAUGCUUUCAUUACCUUGUGGUACAUUUCACUGUUUUGUGUUGACAGACCAUUAUGCUUUCAUUAUGUAGGUGUGUCCAAAUUGGUGUUAUGGAAAAGACGAGUCCUGGGCGGCAUUGGUGGAUCUUUGGUGUGAUGAGGCUGGAGCCUUGGCGGCUAUGAGAAUCAAAAACAAGGCUAACCAAGGGAAGGAGGGAGUACAUGCUCAGGGAAACCGAAACCACUAUCUCCACAAGGCAGUUAAUGUAUGACUAACCCCAUUAAACAUUCUUCUUCUUCUAUUUACCAUCACUUUCUUAUGUAUGACUAAUCUCUGUUUGGUGGUGCAGGAGGAGAAACUGAAGCGGCCGCUCUCACACAUGUAGGCGUGGGAGAUCGCCCAUACGCGGAAGGACCCCAAGCCUGGAGAGCCCAAGUACUACGGCAAGAAGACCGCGGGGAGGAAGAAGGCCUACUCUGAAGCGUAUCUGAAGUUACAUCCUGACACACCUGACCCCAUUGCGGCGGAUCUGGAUGAGAGGGCGGUGGUGAGCAUGGGGCCCAAGGAGAACGGUCGGGAGGCAGUUCUCGAUGUUGUGGUCACUCCUACUAUCUCCUACACACAGCUCCGUCGGAUCGACCCGAGCCUGAGCCAGCGCACGAGCCAGCCAGUGACUAGUGCACAGUCACAGUACCUCUUUCAGGAGCAACAAUCUGUAAGUAUUUUCCCUCUUAUCUGCAUUGCUCACUUUAUUUUCCGCAUUUAGUAGUUUUAUGAGUUCCAUCAUGUCAUACCAUAGGCCUACCUGGAGUACACACGCCAGGAGACCAUGGCGUGGCAUGAGAGGCUUUAUGAACACCAAGUGCAGAGGGAUUGCCAGAUGCAGCGGGCUUUUCAGGAAAUGGCGGUCGGCAGGUGUCCUCAGUUGCAGCCAGCACAAUGUCCUCCAGCACAACCAGUGCUGCUGACCUUUGAGGAGUUUGUGGCACAGAACGCUGGCCCCUCGCCGGUUAGUUCAUCCCCAAUCUAUUCACCCAAAGGAUGGCAUGCCUUUCAACAUAGUCAUAUAUCCCGUGAAUAUAUCUUUUCAACAUCCAGGGAACAGGUGGAUCUACCGUUGGCGGUGGUCUUCGCAGCACUCCCAAGACACGGAGCCCGACCACUCCGAUCCACGGAGGCGGAGGUGGAGGCGGUCUUGGCGGUAGCGCUGCCGCUAGCAGUGACGACCUGGGCUUUGGCGGUCUUGGCGGUGACGACCUCCGCGGUGCUCGACGUCGCGGUGCUCGACGUCCUGGCGCUUAAGCCUUGUGUGUGGUGAUGAUCCUUGAGAUGACUUGUGUGUGGUGAUGAUCCUUUAGAUGACUUGUGUGCUUCUCUAUAUGCUUAUGCGUAUGUUUAUGUUGAUUGUGAUGAUGCUUAUGAAUAUAUUGUUGUGAUGGUGCCGGAUGAUAUCCCGUUGUGUUCUAUAUGUCUAUUUCCAUCAUAUAUAUCUGCUGAUAUGUGUUGUAUAUUUGAAUUGAAUUGAUCUGAAAACAAACAAAAAAAAGAAAGAAAAAAAUCAAAUGCAAACUAUGCGACGGCUAUGCCGACGAGCCGUCGGCAUAGGGCUGGCGUGAGUUCCCAGUAGCUGACACGUGGCGCCUAUGCCGACGGCCUAGCCGUCGGCACAGUUUUUAAACUAAGCCGACGGCUAGGCUGUCGGCAUAGAUGCCACGUGGCAGCUGCUGGUAGCUCUGGAGGAAGGAAUAGACAGCAUAGUUUGACACUAAGCCGAUGGCUAGGCCGUCGACAUACCCCUGUCCCACGAGCAGCGUCUGGUCGCCACGUGGCACACCUCAGCCGACGGCUAGGCCGUCGGCGUAGUUUGAAACUAAGUCGAAGGCAACUACGCCGACGGCCUAGCCGUCGGCUUAGGUGUGCCACGUGGCGACCAGGCAUUGGGCAAACUUGACGGCGGCCGCCGUUAGGCGUGAACGUUGCCGACAGCCAGGGUCGUCGGUGUAGUUGUACGGCCCCCGUCGGGAAAGCUACUAUGCCGACGGCUUUUCUAUGCCGACGGCCUCCUGGACUAUGCCGACGUAUAUGUUGCCGACGGCCCUAUGCCAACGUGGGCCGUCGGCAUAGGUCUGUCCCGACGGGAUUCAGGGCUAUGCCGACGGCCCUGGUCGUCGGCAUAGGGGGCGAUUCUGGUAGUGGUUCUCAGAUUUCAUAGUCAAAAUUUAGCCUGCCAUCAACUGAAGUUUAGACCUAGACAAAAAAAAGAUAGCAUCUUUGCUGGAGUGGAAUAGAAAAUCAGAGAAAGUUGAGAAACCAUCACAAUAUUCUAACUACAGAUUUAUGAAGACACCAAGAAAACACAUGCACUUUUUUUGCACGAAACCAGAUAGGCAUUUCAUUAGCUGUCAUUCAUUGAAAUUCUGUUAUUUACAGAAAUUAGUCCACACAAUCACAUGGUACUCAUUAUACCAGCAGGAGCCUAACAUCAUGUUUGGCUAAUUUUGCUGGAACAGGAGCUGCUUACUUACAAACAUAUUUACAUCAUGCAAACUGCACGAUAAAUUUCCGUGUUUUUACAUAUAAUAUCAUCGUUCUGCACUCUUCAUGACGUUGAUCAACGACAAGCAAUCUGAUGUUCUUUCCAUUUUCUGAAAACAUGCUUGUGCUGCAAAGCUCAGAGCAUGUCUUAUAGCUAAAGCCUUAAUUACUUCCAGAUUUUUCCACUUGAUCAACAUAGCCCCUUAUGGCUGCUUGUACAGAUCACAAAGUGACUCAGAUUCCAUCUUCUCCAAUGGUUUCCGCUCAGCCUCCUUUUCUCCAAUGCUGAAGUUGUUCCCAAUUCUGCUGCAAAGAAUGAAUUAGCAAGUUAGUCAAUUAGAUAGUGAAGUAUACGUGUGCUAUCCAUGACAUCGCAACUUGACAAGUGACAAACAUGGAGGAGACUUUGUCCAUGGUGAGAUAAUCUUAAUCUUUGUGGUUGCCAUUAUUUACAUCAUGAAGGUUGUUCUGCUGACACCUACCAUUUCCGAAAGCUAAGGUGCUGAGCAAUGAUUAAUCAAUGUUUAAUGGUCAAUAGUUCCACUGAAACGAAAUAGAUUGACACUAAAGAAAACAAUGAACAUGAGAAAAGGGGAGCUGGGCGAGCAGAAGAAAAAAGGAAUUGGAGACGUACUUGCGUCCUUUGGCUGGCGGCCGCACUCUGUCUAUCCUGUGCCGGACAAGGGGCGGGAUGGGGAUGAAGGAGAUGGCAGCAAAAGGGGACGAUUGGCCGGUGGCAAACAACGGAGACGACUGCGGCGGCGGCGACAAGAGAUGCGGCGGGCGCCUAAAGCUGACCAGAGUCCAGAUGGGUUAGGGAUCGUGCUCCCGGUCCAGCCAAGCCGAAGUUUUAGAGGCUGCGGGUUGUUUUGGAGCCGAACGCAGGGGCGCUCGAGCCGAGAGAACCAACUAACCGAGCGUACGAGGAGCGAAUCGUCGGAUGGCGAGGUGGGCCACGUGGCGUCAUCUCAGAUAGGGUACGCACGGAGAGGACUUUGCAGCCCGUAUGCAUGGAAUUUUUCCCAGAUUUUCAGCUUUGUUGCGGCAAUGGCUCAUUUAUAGCGAGUUGGAAGGACUGUCGCGUACAGCGCUUCUGUCUAUGGGCCACGCAGCCCAACAUGAGAGGGAGUGGCGUCACUCUCUUCCCUGCCACGGGCAAAUUACAUGCACGUGUUAUUUUUCCUUUUUCCUUUAUUUCAAUUUUUUGUUUUUAUUAUAUAUUUUCAAAAAAAAUAAAUACAUAUUUUCAAAAUUAAUAAUAAUGCCCAGCAUGACUUUUAAAAAAUGUUAACACAGAGUAAUUUUUUGUUAGCGUAAUUGCAAAAAAAUGUUGUUGUCAUUCAAAAAAUAUGUUCAUGACAGUUAAAAAGUUUACAAUGCAAAAACCUAUUUGCCCAAUUCAAAAACAUCUAUAAAAAUAAAAAAUAAACAUUUUUUAAAUGCAAAGACAUUUUAAAAAUUGUGUUUUCUGAACAGUUCAAACAUUUUUAUGAAAACCAAAACAUUUUUUAAAAUUUAUGAGUUCACAAAACACAAUUUUUUUGUCAUUUUUUAUAAAAUACUGAAAAAAUAAAAAA
rnacentral:lncRNA from 1 species